rnacentral:lncRNA from 1 species
GGGGUGCUGUGCAACGAGGGCCACCCACGUGUGCAGCUCUUCCUGUUUCCAUGGUUCCUGCGGGUUUAUUUCCUCUCUGAACAUGCAUCGCUCAUUAUGAAUGUGGAGAUCACGUUCCUGACACGAAUGUGAAUUAUAAGAAGUAAAGAUUAAAAAGAAAACAAACUGCCAGCAACUCUAGUUCUUUUUUUCCCUGUGAGAACACUGUCAGCCCACUGUGGAACUGAAAUUCCAUAGCAUGAAGAAAUUUAAGUUGAUUUUAUGUAUCAUAAAGUUUAUGAAAAGACUCUUCACAGGUUCUAUAGCUGUCAACGGAAAAGUGUCACCUGCCAGAACAGUAAACAAUGGAUGUUACAGUCAUCAAGCCACUACAGACACUCCAGCGGGGCACCCUGAGGGGACUCAGGAGGAGAAAGCACCAGACACUGGCCCCAGAUGGCUGAGGGGCACAUCAAAGGAAUGACUUCUGUGAGCCAGACUCUUGCAUCUUCCUUUACACAGAAAAGUGCAAAAUUCCUUACUCUGAGAUGUCCGGUUUUCUUAACAGUAAUCCCUUGAUGUUCUAACUACCUGGUCUUUGUUGCAAAAACUCCUGUGUGUCCUGGCUCCUCCCUUACCUCUCUGGGGCAGUUCUUUAGGGUAGCUGUCCCCAGCCAUUUUGGUCCCAGUGACUGGUU